rnacentral:rRNA from 1 species
GACGAACGCUGGCGGCGUGCCUAAUACAUGCAAGUUGAGCGAUGAAGAUUGGUGCUUGCACCAAUUUGAAGAGCAGCGAACGGGUGAGUAACGCGUGGGGAAUCUGCCUUUGAGCGGGGGACAACAUUUGGAAACGAAUGCUAAUACCGCAUAACAACUUUAAACAUAAGUUUUAAGUUUGAAAGAUGCAAUUGCAUCACUCAAAGAUGAUCCCGCGUUGUAUUAGCUAGUUGGUGAGGUAAAGGCCCACCAAGGCGAUGAUACAUAGCCGACCUGAGAGGGGGAACGGCCACAGUGGGACUGAAACACGGCCCAAACUCCUACGGGAAGGAGCAGUAGGGAAUCUUCGGCAAUGGACGAAAGUCUGACCGAGCAACGCCGCGGGAGUGAAGAAGGGUUUCGGAUCGUAAAACUCUGUUGGUAGAGAAGAACGUUGGUGAGAGUGGAAAGCUCAUCAAGUGACGGUAACUACCCAGAAAGGGACGGCUAACUACGUG